rnacentral:rRNA from 1 species
CAUGGCUCAGGAUGAACGCUGGCUACAGGCUUAACACAUGCAAGUCGAGGGGAAACGACGGGGAAGCUUGCUUCCCCGGGCGUCGACCGGCGCACGGGUGAGUAACGCGUAUCCAACCUGCCUCUGACUGAGGGAUAACCCGUCGAAAGUCGGCCUAAUACCUCAUGGCAUCGUCUGCGGGCAUCCAACGACGAUUAAAGAUUUCAUCGGUCAGGGAUGGGGAUGCGUCUGAUUAGCUUGUUGGCGGGGUAACGGCCCACCAAGGCUACGAUCAGUAGGGGUUCUGAGAGGAAGGUCCCCCACAUUGGAACUGAGACACGGUCCAAACUCCUACGG